UGGAGUUCCACAGGGGUUGGUGUUGGGACUGCUGCUUUUUACAAUCCUGCAGACAGAUGGGGAUUUACUCCAGACAGUGCAGUCUGGAGCCUGGGUCCCAGGGGAUUCUCAAAUGCAAACAUUCCAAACAACACACGUGUAGUGAAUUUACAACAGAUGAACUGGACUCUGAUUUCAUCAUUUCAGGAGGUGAUGGGUGUCUACACUGGCAGAAUUACUCUUUUUGCUAAUGUGGAUCUCUGCAAUACUCUACCCAAGAGAACUGGAGAUGCAAGAUCACUGGGGGUAUUUAAAGGGGCAGUAGAUAAACCUGAGAGAAGUGGGAAUUGAGGGCUUUGAGAGCUGGCACAG